rnacentral:lncRNA from 1 species
UGAUCGUAUCUCACGAUUCUUUAUCGCGGUUACUCGUUACCGACCUGUGCUACCAGUUGCAUUGGAUGCACACGUGUCAGAUAUAAACGUUGCCAAUUUACAUCUUUUUGAUAUAACAUACAUCCCGACGAUUACGAUCGAAGAAAACAUCAAGUGCAUCGUUACGAGAAGAAGAACCGACCGAACCAAUGGCGAUCAGUUUUGUACGUUCGAUAAGGAAGUAGAAUGUUCAAGAGGUCGAGAAGAAGAGGAAUAAAAAGGUACACAUCUCAUACUAUUGGAAUAAAUAUCCUAUGAUAUCUGAGUACUUUCAAAAGUUUCCUGACAACUAGGAGGAUAAUCAUAAAACAUUCAAUGGAUUAUCAACACAAAACUGCGACUUGAUAACGAUGUAAUACGUUUUUUAAGUGUAUUUUUUGUAUAAAUUAAAUGUUAAUCUAUCUUAAA